rnacentral:lncRNA from 1 species
UUGACAGCAUGAUUUCACCUUCUUUAUUAGCAGUGCAGUGACCUCUCACCCCACAAUGGCGUGGGUUCAUUUACCAACAAUUACAAAUCACAUCACGGACACACGGGUCUAUGGAUCUUUCAGUAUGGCGUCUUACUGCGGAGAGACACAUUGACAGGAAGCAAACAGGAAGUGGGGAACAGAAAUCAGCUGAGAGGAAGGAAGGAGUUGAACAUUGUGUUUAUACGGUGAAGAGAACGUGACCUGGGAUAGAAGGUGAGUGGACAGAGACGAUCCCAUGAUGCCGUUCAGCCAGACAGAUCCCAGUUUACAGCUUCCAGCAGGGGGGAGGAAAUGACCACAACACAGGAAGUUACAUAGCAGCUCUUCCUCUUCCUAUUGGUUGAGAGGGCAUUGACCUCCACUGUGGAGAGUUAAGGUCCUACCUAUGAGCAGUGGAUCAGACCAUAGCUGAUUACUGACCCCACUCGUCUCUCUCAGGUCCAGUCCCGUCCCCCAGUCUCUCUCGGGUCCGGUCCCCAGUCUCUCUCGGGUCCGGUCCCCAGUCUCUCUCGGGUCCGGUCCCCCAUCUCUCUCGGGUCCGGUCCCCCGUCUCUCUCGGGUCCGGUCCCCAGUCUCUCUCGGGUCCAGUCCCGUCCCCCGUCCCCCUCAGGUCCAGUCCCCAGUCUCUCUCAGGUCCGGUCCCGUCCCCACCAGAGCCAGCCAGUCAGUGCCGCGUGGCCUCUAUCGCCUCCUGGUGGACAGAGUGGAGGUAGUACGGCUCAGGCUGAGCCCAGGGAAGUGAACUGUAGGGGUUCUGGGUGUGGGACCGUAGAGACCCAGGUUACGGGCUGCAGAUGAACGUCUGUGCUGUUUCACACUCGGGAAGGGAGAGAACACCUGACGGGAGGUGGUCCUGGGAUGGUCCUGGGGCACGGAGGGGCAGGAGAGAGGGAGGGAGGGGGUAACGGGGCUGUGGGGGUUAGAGGUGGUCCUGGGAUGGUCCUGGGGCACGGAGGGGCAGGAGAGAGGGAGGGAGGGGGUAACGGGGCUGUGGGGGUUAGAGGGGGUAACGAGGCUGUGGGGGUUGAAGGGG